AGGCUCGUAGCUCAGUUGGUUAGAGCACUACCUUGACAUGGUAGGGGUCGCUGAUUCGAAUUCAGUCGAGCCUA
rnacentral:tRNA from 1 species